UAAGCAAAUAAGAGCAAUCGGUGGAUGCCUUGGCUCCUAAUAGCGAUGAAGGACGUGAUAAGCUGCGAUAAGCCAUGUUGAGGUGCAAAUGACCUUUGAGACAUGGAUUUCCGAAUGGGGUAACCCAUCUCGAUGAAGUCGAGAUACCUUCGGGUGCUAACCUGGUGAACUGAAACAUCUAAGUAACCAGAGGAAUAGAAAACAAUAGUGAUUCCCUAAGUAGUGGCGAGCGAACGGGGAAUAGCCCAAACCAAUGAUGUCUAGGCAUUGUUGGGGUUGUAGGACUACAUAAUCUGACGGGAUUGAGUUUGGAACAGAUCUGGAAAGUUCGUCCAAAGAGGGUGAUAGGCCCGUACAAACUUGAGACAAUAAGUGGUAGUAUCCUGAGUAGCGCGGAACAUGUGUAAUUCUGUGUGAAUCUGCCAGAACCAUCUGGUAAGGCUAAAUAUGUUAGGAGACCGAUAGUGAACUAGUACUGUGAAGGAAAGGUGAAAAGAACCCUUAGAAGGGAGUGAAAUAGACCCUGAAACCGGUUGCUUACAAGCGGUGGGAGCCUUCGGGUGACCGCGUGCCUUUUGCAUAAUGAGCCUACGAGUUAUUCUUCACUAGCGAGGAUAAGGAUUUCAGAUCCGCAUCCGAAGCGAAAGCGAGUAUUAAUAGUGCGAUCUAGUUAGUGGAGAUAGACGCGAAACCCGGUGAUCUACCCAUGGCCAGGUUGAAGCCUCAGUAAAAUGAGGUGGAGGACCGAACCAAUAGACGUUGAAAAGUCUUUGGAUGAGCUGUGGGUAGGGGUGAAAGGCCAAUCAAACCGGGAAAUAGCUCGUUCUCCCCGAAAUGCAUUUAGGUGCAGCCUCGGAGUUGAGUAUAUUGGAGGUAGAGCUACUGAUUGGGCUAGGGGGCUUCACCGCCUACCAAACCCUGACAAACUCCGAAUGCCAAUAUAUAUAUCCGGGAGUGAGGGCAUGGGUGCUAAGGUCCAUGUCCGAGAGGGAAAGAACCCAGACCAUCAGCUAAGGUCCCAAAAUAUAUGUUAAGUUGAAUAAACGAGGUUGAACUGCUUAGACAGCUAGGAUGUUGGCUUGGAAGCAGCCAU
rnacentral:rRNA from 1 species